rnacentral:rRNA from 1 species
GAUGAACGCUGACGGCGUGCCUAAUACAUGCAAGUCGAGCGAACAGACGAGGAGCUUGCUCCUCUGACGUUAGCGGCGGACGGGUGAGUAACACGUGGAUAACCUACCUAUAAGACUGGGAUAACUUCGGGAAACCGGAGCUAAUACCGGAUAAUAUAUUGAACCGCAUGGUUCAAUAGUGAAAGACGGUUUUGCUGUCACUUAUAGAUGGAUCCGCGCCGCAUUAGCUAGUUGGUAAGGUAACGGCUUACCAAGGCAACGAUGCGUAGCCGACCUGAGAGGGUGAUCGGCCACACUGGAACUGAGACACGGUCCAGACUCCUACGGGAGGCAGCAGUAGGGAAUCUUCCGCAAAGGGCGAAAGCCUGACGGAGCAACGCCGCGUGAGUGAUGAAGGUCUUCGGAUCGUAAAACUCUGUUAUUAGGGAAGAACAAAUGUGUAAGUAACUAUGCACGUCUUGACGGUACCUAAUCAGAAAGCCACGGCUAACUACGUG